rnacentral:rRNA from 1 species
AGUGGGGAAUUUUCCGCAAUGGGCGAAAGCCUGACGGAGUAAUACCGCGUGAGGGAGGAAGGCUCUUGGGUUGUAAACCUCAAAACUUAGGGAAGAAAAAAAUGACGGUACCUAAUGUAAGCAUCGGCUAACUCCGUGCCAGCAGCCGCGGUAAUACGGAGGAUGCAAGCGUUAUCCGGAAUCAUUGGGCGUAAAGAGUCCGUAGGUGGCACUUCAAGUCUGCUUUCAAAGACCGAAGCUCAACUUCGGAAAGGGAGUGGAAACUGAAGAGCUAGAGUAUAGUAGGGGUAGAGGGAAUUCCUAGUGUAGCGGUGAAAUGCGUAGAGAUUAGGAAGAACACCAGUGGCGAAGGCGCUCUACUGGGCAUAUACUGACACUGAGGGACGAAAGCUAGGGGAGCGAAAGGGAUUAGAUACCCCUGUAGUCCUAGCGGUAAACGAUGGAUACUAGGCGUAGUGCUGUUAGAAGGACUGUGCCGAAGCUAACGCGUUAAGUAUCCCGCCUGGGGAGUACGCACGCAAGUGUG